rnacentral:rRNA from 1 species
AGUGAACGCUGGCGGUAGGCCUAACACAUGCAAGUCGAACGGCAGCACAGUAAGAGCUUGCUCUUACGGGUGGCGAGUGGCGGACGGGUGAGGAAUACAUCGGAAUCUACUUUUUCGUGGGGGAUAACGUAGGGAAACUUACGCUAAUACCGCAUACGACCUACGGGUGAAAGCAGGGGAUCUUCGGACCUUGCGCGAUUGAAUGAGCCGAUGUCGGAUUAGCCAGUUGGCGGGGUAAAGGCCCACCAAGGCGACGAUCCGUAGCUGGUCUGAGAGGAUGAUCAGCCACACUGGAACUGAGACACGGUCCAGACUCCUACGGGAGGCAGCAGUGGGGAAUAUUGGACAAUGGGCGCAAGCCUGAUCCAGCCAUACCGCGUGGGUGAAGAAGGCCUUCGGGUUGUAAAGCCCUUUUGUUGGGAAAGAAAAGCAGCAGGUUAAUACCCCGCUGUUCUGACGGUACCCAAAGAAUAAGCACCGGAUAACUUCGUG